CCUACGGGUGGCAGCAGUGAGGAAUAUUGGUCAAUGGCCGGAAGGCUGAACCAGCCAAGCCGCGUGAAGGACGAAGGUGCCAAGCAUUGUAAACUUCUUUUGUCAAGGGACAAAAUCAGGCUCGAGAGCCUGACCGAGGGUACUUGAAGAAAAAGCAUCGGCUAACUCCGUGCCAGCAGCCGCGGUAAUACGGAGGAUGCGAGCGUUAUCCGGAUUUAUUGGGUUUAAAGGGUGCGUAGGCGGGCUGUUAAGUCAGCGGUAAAAGCCCGGGGCUCAACCCCGGCGAGCCGUUGAAACUGGCUGUCUUGAGAUGUCGAGAGGUAUGCGGAAUGCGCGGUGUAGCGGUGAAAUGCUUAGAUAUCACGAGGAACCCCGAUUGCGAAGGCAGCCUGCCGGGGUGCGACUGACGCUGAGGCUCGAAGGUGCGGGUAUCAAACAGGAUUAGAUACCCGUGUAGUC
rnacentral:rRNA from 1 species